rnacentral:sRNA from 1 species
UGCCCUGAGCUCCCAGCUUCAGCUCCAGCACCAUACCUUCCUGCCUGCUGCUGUGCUUCACCACGAUGAUGGCGGACCAGCCCUCUGAAACUGUAACUGUAGUGUUCACCCCUCAUUAAAGAAACUCUUCCUUGCAAUAUGCAUAACAGUUCUGAAAACCACAACCAAUCAAGCUGCAGUUAUAGAGCCAAGUUCCAAUGGACAUAUUUACAAAACAGCUCCUAAGCCAAGGCACAGGAAUCACUGUGGAAGGAGUAUCAAAACAAGACUAGAGUAAUGGAGUUUGUGAGAUUGUGUUUCCUAGGACUGUCCGAAGCUACACCCAUGAAGUCUCACUGAUGUGACCGACUCAACCUGAGCUGAACAAUGAUGACCCUAAUGGAGAUGCAAGUGUGGAAGGGGAACGCUCACACAACCUUAACACUACAGAAUUCUAUAGGAAAUUAAGGAAUGCUGAGAGCAGGAAAAAUGAUCUUGGAAUGACAAUUUGCUCAUAGGGAAAAACAAAAGGCCCAGGAUAAGUAAAACACUCCUGAAUAAAAAAUAAAAAGUAUCACCAUCCCAGAUCUCAAGUUGUGUUACAGAGCUGUAAUAAUACAAACAGCACGGCAUUAGCCUAUAAACAGACACCUUGUCCAAUGGAAUUAAAUUGCAGACUCAGACCUAAGUCCACACAUCUAUGAACACUGAUUUUUUUUUUUAAAGAAAGAUCCAAAAACAUACACUUAGAAAAAAGAAUCAUCAAAAAUGGUGCCGGGCAAAUUGAAUGACUGCAUGAAGAAGAAUGCAUAUAGAUUUCUAUUUGUCACCUUACACAAACCUCAACUCCAAAUGGAUCAAGGACCUCAACAUCAGGCCAGAUACCCCAAAUCUAAUAGAACAAAACACUGAUAGUACAAGCAACGAGAUCAGCAAUUGAUUAAUGGGAUCUCAUGAAACUGAAAAGCUUUUCUAUGUCAAGGCACAGAAUAGCAGACGACAAAAUGGGAAAAUAUCAUUACCAAUUACACAUCCAAUAGAGUGUUAAUGCCUUAAAUAUAUAAAGAGCUAAAAAGAUAAAAAUGAAUAAAUAAAAAACAACUGGACAUCCAGAAAGCAAAUAACCCGGUUUAAAAUGGAAUAAAAAACUGAACAGGGAGUUCCCAAAAGAUAAACCACAAAUGUCUGAGGAACUCUUAAGAAAUAAUUCAACUGGAAACCCUCACACAUCUCAGGCUAUUGACAGUUGCCCUCCGCAAACUGGUAGUAAGGCGCUGCUGCUGAAGGCAGCACUCAACACCCCCUACUGAACACGAAGAAGUCAAGCUGGUGCUAAUUAGAAGCUUCACUGUACUGAUGCAGACAGAUCUCUUCUGACUAAAGGCUACCUCUGAUAAACAGUUAUAUAUAAAAUGAAAACUCAGGUAAAUGUAUUGCAAGGUGGAGGUUUUUAAACCUGCCCAUCUGUACAAAUGUAUCUUUGAUAAAUAUACAGGUGUCAUUCGAUACACAUAUGUGAUCCUUGAUGCUAACACUCUUCAUACCCCAACUGCGGUGUUAUCUAGUGUGGGGCAGAGGAACAGAACUGAAAGAACUCAAUAGAGAUAUUGUUCAUCUUUCUAUGCACGUUGUAUUGCCUCACAGUGCUAAGACCUUUAGACAAUGUUUCCUCCUUUGGUGGGAGACUUAGGUGAAGCUGGAAAAGCAUCUAAGACACUGCUUUGACACAUAGUCUCGUAUCUGUAGAAGAAGGCAAAUCCUUUCUACAUUUACUUCCUCCUUAAAUGGAUGAAAAUCUGCAUUCAACUAUGUGUAAAUGUUCUUUUGCCUUGGAAGGUGAUCUCAAUGAAUGAAAACACUCUCAACGGUGAUGACAUCACUGACAAAAAUAAAUGCAUUUUACAGAUAA